rnacentral:rRNA from 1 species
AGAGACAGCAGUCGCCGCGGUAAUACCGAGGGUGCGAGCGUUAAUCGGAUUUACUGGGCGUAAAGCGUGCGUAGGCGGCUUUUUAAGUCGGAUGUGAAAUCCCUGAGCUUAACUUAGGAAUUGCAUUCGAUACUGGGAAGCUAGAGUAUGGGAGAGGAUGGUAGAAUUCCAGGUGUAGCGGUGAAAUGCGUAGAGAUCUGGAGGAAUACCGAUGGCGAAGGCAGCCAUCUGGCCUAAUACUGACGCUGAGGUACGAAAGCAUGGGGAGCAAACAGGAUUAGAUACCCCCGUAGUCCCUGUCUCUUAUAC